GCGUGGCCGCCGGAUGACGGGUAUUGUUGAUGUCAAUAUUAUAGGUAACUCUGUCACGUU
rnacentral:tRNA from 1 species